CACCUCAGUGUCAGUAUCAGUCCAGGUGGUCGCCUUCGCCACUGGUGUUCCUUCCUAUAUCUACGCAUUUCACCGCUACACAGGAAAUUCCACCACCCUCUACCAUACUCUAGUCAGUCAGUUUUGAAUGCAGUUCCCAGGUUGAGCCCGGGGAUUUCACAUCCAACUUAACAAACCACCUACGCGCGCUUUACGCCCAGUAAUUCCGAUUAACGCUUGCACCCUCUGUAUUACCGCGGCUGCUGGCACAGAGUUAGCCGGUGCUUAUUCUGUCGGUAACGUCAAAACCAUCACGUAUUAGGUAAUGGCCCUUCCUCCCAACUUAAAGUGCUUUACAAUCCGAAGACCUUCUUCACACACGCGGCAUGGCUGGAUCAGGCUUUCGCCCAUUGUCCAAUAUUCCCCACUGCUGCCUCCCGUAGGAGUCUGGACCGUGUCUCAGUUCCAGUGUGACUGAUCAUCCUCUCAGACCAGUUACGGAUCGUCGCCUUGGUGAGCCAUUACCCCACCAACUAGCUAAUCCGACCUAGGCUCAUCUGAUAGCGCAAGGCCCGAAGGUCCCCUGCUUUCUCCCGUAGGACGUAUGCGGUAUUAGCGUCCGUUUCCGAACGUUAUCCCCCACUACCAGGCAGAUUCCUAGGCAUUACUCACCCGUCCGCCGCUCUCAAGAGAAGCAAGCUUCUCUCUACCGCUCGACUUGCAUGUGUUAGGCCUGCCGCCAGCGUUCAAU
rnacentral:rRNA from 1 species